rnacentral:rRNA from 1 species
GACGUAGGUGGCGAACGUUAUCCGGAAUUAUUGGGCGUAAAGGGUGCGUAGGUGGUCUGAUAAGUUAUCAGUGGCAAAUCGAGGCUCAACCUCGUGGAAACUGGUAAUACUGUCCGACUUGAGUACAGGAGAGGUUAGUGGAAUUCUCGGUGUAGAGGUGAAAUUCGUAGAUAUCGAGAGGAACACCGGUGGCGAAGGCAGGUCUCUGGGCUGACACUGACGCUCAUGCACGAAAGCGUGGGGAGCAAACAGG